CAAAGGACACCGAAAUCUCCGCUUUAAUUUUACACCUGUGCGCACUACUUUGGACUCCGAGUUUUCUCUUUACGAUUUGGAUUUGACGAUAUGGGAUCUCCGUUCAGAUGUUGUGUUCGUUAUUGCACUACAACUCGCAGUGAUGAUUGCAAUGUUAUUUUGCAUUCAUUUCCCAACCCCGAUAAGGAAGAGGACAGAUUUAGAUCUUGGGUCUACUCAAUUGGGGGAGAUAUUCUGGUUUUGGAUAACCAAUUUGUAUUCAAAACAGAAAAAUAUGCCACAAGCACUUCGAAAGUAAAUACCAUACAAGAAGUUCAAGAUUAAGUGCUAAUGCAGUUCCUACUUUGCAUUUAAAAGGCAUACCUUGUAAAAGACCAUUAUCAGAUGUUACCAAUGUGACCAGUUACAAUCCAAUAUUUGCUCAACCUUCAACAUCCACAGCAGGUCCACUUCAUUCUGGUGAACCAAUAUCUAUCAAGACCAGUGAACUUGAGAAGCUAGCAGAAGCAGAUUUAGGCAAACCUGUAAAGACUUCAGGAGUAAAACAUAUUUCCCUAAAACAAGCAGCUGCAAUGACAAAAAAUGGUAAAUAUUUAUUUCAUAGAUUGUAUUAGUAUACUAUGUGGCGAUAAGGUUAUCACUAGGGAAAUUGUUUAUUUAUUUAAUACAAUUAUUAGAUCAAUAGUUAACUGUGUACUAUUUUAUGUGAUACUGAUAACAUUAUCGCUACACUGUAUAUUGCAGUAAGAAUUUCAAAAAUAGAGAAUAGAGUUUUUGGUCACAUAGAGAGGAAGAUUGGGCUGAAGUAGAUUUUCCUCCAAAAUAAUUAAUUGAAAAUCUCAUUAUGUCAAAGUCGCACUUGAAUAAGUUAAGUUUUCAAUUUCUAUGAAAGAGAUAAUUGACCUACCUUUUAACAGGUUUUUUUUUUUCAGUACCAAACUUAGCGAAUCUGCAAAAC